UUUAGAGUUUGAUUCCUGGCUCAGGACGAACGCUGGCGGCGUGCCUAACACAUGCAAGUCGUACGGGCCUGGGGGCAACUCCAGGUCAGUGGCGGACGGGUGCGUAACACGUAAGCAACGUAUCCGACGGUGGGGGAUAGCCGGCCCAACGGCCGGGUAAUACCGCAUGCAGUGGCCUGGGGCAUCCCGGGUCAUCAAAGCCGGGGCAACCUGGCGCCGACGGAGCGGCUUGCGGCCUAUCAGCUAGUUGGUGAGGUCACGGCUCACCAAGGCGACGACGGGUAGCUGGUGUGAGAGGAUGACCAGCCACAUUGGGACUGAGACACGGCCCAGACUCCUACGGGAGGCAGCAGUGGGGAAUCUUGCGCAAUGGGCGAAUGCCUGACGCAGCGACGCCGCGUGUGGGAUGAAGGUCUUCGGAUCGUAAACCACUGUCGGGAGGGACGAAGGCCCGGGGUUCACUGCCACCGGGAUUGACGUACCUCCAAAGAAGCACCGGCA
rnacentral:rRNA from 1 species